rnacentral:rRNA from 1 species
UACUUUGGCCGGGGUUGCUAAUUACAUUGCAAGUCGAGCGGACAGAUGGGAGCUUGCUCCCUGAUGUUAGCGGCGGACGGGUGAGUAACACGUGGGUAACCUGCCUGUAAGACUGGGAUAACUCCGGGAAACCGGGGCUAAUACCGGAUGGUUGUUUGAACCGCAUGGUUCAAACAUAAAAGGUGGCUUCGGCUACCACUUACAGAUGGACCCGCGGCGCAUUAGCUAGUUGGUGAGGUAACGGCUCACCAAGGCAACGAUGCGUAGCCGACCUGAGAGGGUGAUCGGCCACACUGGGACUGAGACACGGCCCAGACUCCUACGGGAGGCAGCAGUAGGGAAUCUUCCGCAAUGGACGAAAGUCUGACGGAGCAACGCCGCGUGAGUGAUGAAGGUUUUCGGAUCGUAAAGCUCUGUUGUUAGGGAAGAACAAGUACCGUUCGAAUAGGGCGGUACCUUGACGGUACCUAACCAGAAAGCCACGGCUAACUACGUGCCAGCAGCCGCGGUAAUACGUAGGUGGCAAGCGUUGUCCGGAAUUAUUGGGCGUAAAGGGCUCGCAGGCGGUUUCUUAAGUCUGAUGUGAAAGCCCCCGGCUCAACCGGGGAGGGUCAUUGGAAACUGGGGAACUUGAGUGCAGAAGAGGAGAGUGGAAUUCCACGUGUAGCGGUGAAAUGCGUAGAGAUGUGGAGGAACACCAGUGGCGAAGGCGACUCUCUGGUCUGUAACUGACGCUGAGGAGCGAAAGCGUGGGGAGCGAACAGGAUUAGAUACCCUGGUAGUCCACGCCGUAAACGAUGAGUGCUAAGUGUUAGGGGGUUUCCGCCCCUUAGUGCUGCAGCUAAACGCAUUAAGCACUCCGCCUGGGGAGUACGGUCGCAAGACUGAAACUCAAAUGAAAUUGACGGGGGCCCGCACAACCGGUGGAGCAUGUGGUUUUAAUUCGAAUCAACGCGAAGACCUUUACCAGGUCUUGACAUUCCUCUGACAAUCCUAGAGAUAGGGAC